UUCCCGUAUCAUCACCGAAGUUAAGCAACGUCGAGCCUGUUCAGUACCUAGAUGGGUGACCACUUGGGAAUACCAGGUGCUGUAAG